rnacentral:rRNA from 1 species
GGGGGGACGGAGAAGGCUAGGUGGGCCUGGCGACGGUUGUCCAGGUUCAAGUGCGUAGGCUUAAGAGUUAGGUAAAUCCGGCUCUUUCUAAGGCUGAGACACGACGUCGAGCACCUACGGGUGUGAAGUCAUUGAUGCCAUGCUUCCAGGAAAAGCCUCUAAGCUUCAGAUUGUAAGGAAUCGUACCCCAAACCGACACAGGUGGUCGGGUAGAGAAUACCAAGGCGCUUGAGAGAACUCGGGUGAAGGAACUAGGCAAAAUGGUACCGUAACUUCGGGAGAAGGUACGCUCUCGACGGUGAAGUCCCUCGCGGAUGGAGCUAUUGAGAGUCGCAGAUACCAGGUGGCUGCAACUGUUUAUUAAAAACACAGCACUGUGCAAAAUCGUAAGAUGACGUAUACGGUGUGACGCCUGCCCGGUGCCGGAAGGUUAAUUGAUGGGGUUAGACUUCGGUCGAAGCUCUUGAUCGAAGCCCCGGUAAACGGCGGCCGUAACUAUAACGGUCCUAAGGUAGCGAAAUUCCUUGUCGGGUAAGUUCCGACCUGCACGAAUGGCGUAAUGAUGGCCACGCUGUCUCCACCCGAGACUCAGUGAAAUUGAAAUCGCUGUGAAGAUGCAGUGUACCCGCGGCUAGACGGAAAGACCCCGUGAACCUUUACUACAGCUUGGCACUGAACAUUGACCCUACAUGUGUAGGAUAGGUGGGAGGCUUUGAAGCACGUACGCCAGUAUGUGUGGAGCCGUCCUUGAAAUACCACCCUUGUAGUGUUGAUGUUCUAACGUCGACCCCU